GUCACAAGAGGCCCUGAGCUCUGUGGGCCCCAGGUGCCCCAGGAAAACUUGGGGGAGAAUGGGCAUCCCACCCCAGCACUUUCUAGGAAGGAGGGCAGCAUUUUGAAGGGCUGGAAGUAGAGGAAGGAGGUUGCGGGUAGAAGACUCCAUACUUUCUGUGAUGCCUAUUCCUUAGUCAGAGGCGUGGCUUGCCUGGGCCCCUGGGUGCAGCUGCACAGAUUCAAGCAGCCUGAAGGAAAGGUGACUGACAGCUAAUGAUCUGAAAAGAACUUGUCUCAACUCAACGUCAUUCCUGGCAUUAUCGAACAAAGCAAUAAACCUCACAGAAUGGAAGCUACAGUGUCCAGGGCCAGCUCUGCUAAGGUAACCAAAGACAGAGAAGGAGGCAAAAGUGACAGAAGAAGCUCAUGGGAAACCAACAGAAAUGUAAUGGCUUUGGCAGAAAUGCAAUUAUCAAUUGGGAGCUUGAGAUGAAUGUUUUCUCAGUAUCCUAUGCUGAAAACAGGUAGAUACUAAUAUCGAUCUUCAAGGGAGGGCUGUUGAGUUUUGAAUAAGACAAAAACAUGGAAGCAAUCAGCACCAUGCUGGAAUCAAGGCUAUCUGUAAUCACAGGGCUAUUUGAAAAAGAGAAGAAAAGGUGUCUUGAAAUUCAACCAACAUGUUUCAAUUAUUUGCUCCUAAGAACAACAGAAGUUUCAACAUUCUGCCAACAAAGUAACUCCUGGAAGAUUGGCACAGAAGAAGGCACAAGGAGAGCCUUUAUAUAACCAAAGAUAUUUUUGGACCAUGAAUUCGGAAAUUCUCGGAGCCACCCAUCAGUGCCUGAGCUUCAGUGAGUCCAUAUCCCAUGUCACCCACGGCAAAGGAGAAUCUAAGACUUCUGAAGACUAAAGUUACAGAACCCAAAUUUGGCAACUGUCUGCAUCUGAACAACAGAAGUUUCAACAUUCUGCCAACAGAGUAACUCCUGGACGAUUGGCACAGAAGGCACAAGGCAAAUACCUAUCUCUGUACACCCUGUGCUACUGUGUCAUGUGCUGCUCCAGGCAACUCCAAUGGAUUGGCCACCCUGGCCAAUGUGUUCUAGUAUGUUAGGUUUAUGUUCCCCUGCUUUCUACAAUCCUGUUCAAAGAGUUGCUGACUUAACCACAGAGAGGAUUCCAGAACAUGAGACACAGAAUAAACUUGAGCAAUCAUAGUCCAUCCACUUCAUUUUCUCAUCAAAAACCAAAGGUCCAGUGAAGCUCUGGAACUCAACGCUGUAAAGGAGCGAAGGAGCUUCUAUACAGAGCCUGGAUGCCUGUCUCCUUAUCCUAC
rnacentral:antisense_RNA from 1 species